GAUGAACGCUGGCGGCGUGCUUAACACAUGCAAGUCGAACGGAAAGGCUCCUGCUUGCAGGGGUACUCGAGUGGCGAACGGGUGAGUAACACGUGGGUGAUCUGCCCUGCACUUCGGGAUAAGCCUGGGAAACUGGGUCUAAUACCGGAUAGGACCAUCGUUUAGUGUCGGUGGUGGAAAGUUUUUUCGGUGUGGGAUGAGCUCGCGGCCUAUCAGCUUGUUGGUGGGGUAAUGGCCUACCAAGGCGUCGACGGGUAGCCGGCCUGAGAGGGUGUACGGCCACAUUGGGACUGAGAUACGGCCCAGACUCCUACGGGAGGCAGCAGUGGAGAGUAUUGCACAAUGGGCGCAAGCCUGAUGCAGCGACGCCGCGUGGGGGAUGACGGCCUUCGGGUUGUAAACACCUUUCGCCAGAGACGAAGCGAAAGUGACGGUACCUGGAUAAGAAGCACCGGCUAACUACGUG
rnacentral:rRNA from 1 species